AGAAGUGCGCUGCCUUUUAUUGAUCUGCUGCUUUUCUUAGCUUUCUUGGAAAUAAUAUCAUCAGAUGACACAGAGCUCAACUCAGCUGUCAGUUCACAGCUGCUGACAUCCAGAGAAACAAAGAAACCUGGAGAACAAGAUAUGAAGAAGAGAGGUGGGGGUAGGAAAGAAAGGGAAAGCACCAGGUCUGGUUUCUGUAUGGUGCAUUUUCACUGUGGGGACAGUGAGGCACAGUGAUACAAUCCAAUGGAGUUGCUAUGCAAAAACCUGCCACAUUUAAUAUGCUCAGUGUGGCCUUUUCCCUAUUACUAUGAAGACUUUCACUCAGAUCCAAAUUAGCUAUUUUUUAUCACUUUAAAAUAGUUCAUUUGUACAAGAUAAUGCAAAAUCAAAAGUAGAUUUGUGACUUCUAUUGUUUUAUGGAGCUCUAUAUUUUCCUUUAGGGUUUGUGUUGAAAAAUAUCCUUUUAAUGGCACAUUGGAGCAGAAGUCCACUUUGGAACUGAAAUUAAAAGAACUCUUGUAGAAGUGAAGACUACUCCCAAACCACCAAAGGUCCAAGUGUUUCCACUCUCUAAAAAGGAAUGUGAAAGCAAAACAGAUGAGAAGAAAAUGAAGACAUUAGUGUGCUUGGCUUCUGGGUUCUACCCAGACCAUGUGACAGUUUCCUGGCAGAUCAACGGGUUUAAUGAAAAACAGGGAGUGAAGACCGAUGAUGCUGCCACAAUGAAAGAUGAUGGUAACUACACCAUUAUGAGCAGGUUGAGGGUUACGGCAUCAAAGUGGUUGAAAAAGGGCACAAAUAUCACCUGCAUUGUCAGCUUCUUUGAUGGGAAUAACACCGUACCUUAUCCAAACUGGACAAUAGGACCAGGAAAUGAAGCAACAAGAGAGAAAUAUCUACAAACCAUGCAAAGAGCCAAGCUAUCCUACACUGCUCUGUUCAUGAAGAGCAGCAUCUACGGCCUCUUUGUGCUGCUGUUGGUGUGGAAGAUUCAGGCUUCAUUCAAAAACAGCCGAACUGAGAGUUGAGCUGAGGAUUAUGGUGCUUCCAUCAAUCUGUGUUCAAACUUUUUACUCAAAUUGUUCAAGUGUUUCUGCUUUGCAUAAUAAAUGUUAUUGACAGAUUAGUAUACUGAUAAAUAAUUACAUAAUUCUGUCAAAUCUGCUAAUCUGCUGCUUUGUGCCAAUUUUUCCUCCUAAUAAAUCAUUUAACCUCAUAUCUGAGACUAUCACAAUUUCUUUUAGAGUUGAAGUGUAAAAGUAAAGGGCCAGCAUGAGAAUUAGGUGCUGCAAGCAUAUGAGUGCUUAAAAUUACUUCCAUGCUCAAUUACAGGAAAGAAUUUUCAGAAUUUAGCUUUUUCUACCUUACUAGGCUGAGCCCAUCAUCUCCCAGUCAGAAUUUUUCUCCAGAAUUCAUCUUUUUAAUUUUUAGUCUUGCAUGGUAGAUUAGUUUUCACCUAACAGACCAUUGUAUUCUUUGUGAGCAAAGCUUCACUGUUGGUAGAAAGGUUGAUGUGUAAAUGUCAGUGAACCACGUCUCAGUGUAACAGGAAAUCCUUUUUCUCAACUAUGUAUAAGAAUCAGAUUGAGGCUGCUGGUGCACCCCAACAAACCAGGCCACCAGGGCCUGCGUAGGUGUUGAGAGUGAAACGGAUGUGGUCUACAGGGCAGGCUGCAGGAUGCUGAGGAGCAUUUUGCAAGCGAAAGCACCUGUUCAACCACUCCUGUGGCUUUGGUGCUGCAGCACAAACAGCUGGGGGUGGGUCAACUGAAACUGCAGUGUGUGAACUCAGCGGCCAUUUCAUUUGAGUUGCUGCUUUUCCGCUGUUCCUAAUUUCUUUCUGCCAAAUAAAAACGGCUCGGUUAGUGCAACAGACCUUUUUUUUUACAUUUUUGUUGUUUUAUUUCUAAUUCAAGACAAUUCAUAGAGCUAUGUAUGUAUCAUCUGCAUAUUAUGGUAACUAAUCUUAUUACUUGUUAUCACCUGAGCAUAUAGAUAUAUCAUAUAUAUCAUAUACGUAUAUCCAGUAUCUACGUACAUGCUUCUGUUUUAAAUAUUUUAAAGUUUAUGUCAGACUUCUGUGUCCCUUAAUGCAUAUCUGGAUGAAAAGUACUAUAUAAAUAAAUGUAAUGUACUAUUUACUUGUUCCUGGGUGUUUAUGAUGUUGGUUCACUAAUGUUACCCUGAAAACCCCUGAAGCCUUUAGAAAAAAUUUGGAUUUUUUAGUAAACAGAGGUUGACUCUUUUUACUAAUUUGUUGAUGUUUGGAGUCAAUUAGUGAUACUGGGUUUAAUUUUGUGGGUAUCAGAGUAAAAGGGUACAUGUGCACUGUCAGACUUUUUUUUUAAACAUUGUAUAUCUAUCUUUUGUCUUUCACUUUUAUGCAACUAUUUUGUGUUGGUCUGUCAUAUGAAAUUUGAAUAAAAGAUGUUGGAGUUUCUUGCAGAAUGAUAAAUGUAAAUAAAAUGAAACGGGUAUGAAGAGG